rnacentral:rRNA from 1 species
GACGAACGCUGGCGGCGUGCUUAACACAUGCCAGUCGAACGGAAAGGCCCUGCUUUUGUGGGGUGCUCGAGUGGCGAAAGGGUGAGUAACACGUGAGUAACCUGCCCUUGACUUUGGGAUAACUUCAGGAAACUGGGGCUAAUACCGGAUAGGAGCUCCUGCUGCAUGGUGGGGGUUGGAAAGUUUCGGCGGUUGGGGAUGGACUCGCGGCUUAUCAGCUUGUUGGUGGGGUAGUGGAUUACCAAGGCUUUGACGGGUAGCCGGCCUGAGAGGGUGACCGGCCACAUUGGGACUGAGAUACGGCCCAGACUCCUACGGGAGGCAGCAGUGGGGAAUAUUGCACAAUGGGCGGAAGCCUGAUGCAGCAACGCCGCGUGCGGGAUGACGGCCUUCGGGUUGUAAACCGCUUUCGCCUGUGACGAAGCGUGAGUGACGGUAAUGGGUAAAGAAGCACCGGCUAACUACGUG